rnacentral:rRNA from 1 species
GAUGAACGCUGGCGGCGUGCCUAAUACAUGCAAGUCGAGCGAACGGACGAGAAGCUUUCUUCUCUGAUUUUAGCGUCUGACGUGUGUGUAACACUUGUAUAACCUACCUAUAAUACUUGUAUAACUUCGUGAAACCUUUUCUAAUACCGUCUAAUAUUUUUAACCUCAUGGUUCAAAAGUGUAUGACUGUCUUUCUGUCUCUUAUAGCUUGAUCCGCGCUGCAUUAGAUAGUUGGUAAGUUAACGGCUUACCAAGGCAACGAUGCAUAGCCGACCUGAGAGGGGGAGAGGAAAAACGGGAACUGAGACACGGAACAGAGAACUACGGGAGGCAGCAGUAGGGAAGAGUACGCAAUGGGAGAAAGCAUGACGGAGAAAAGCCGAGUGAGUGAUGAAGGUCUACGGAUCGGAAAAAGCUGUUAUUAGGGAAGAAAAUAUGUGUAAGUAAAUGUGCACAUAGUGACGGUAACUAAACAGAAAGCAACGGCUAACUACGUG